UACGAAGGAUUCGAGCGUUAUCCGGAUUUAUUGGGUUUAAAGGGUGCGUAGGUGGAUUAAUAAGUCAGUGGUGAAAGCCCGCAGCUUAACUGCGGAACUGCCAUUGAUACUGUUAGUCUUGAGUACAGUUGAGGUGGGCGGAAUGUGUCAUGUAGCGGUGAAAUGCUUAGAUAUGACACAGAACACCGAUUGCGAAGGCAGCUCACUAAGCUGUAACUGACACUGAGGCACGAAAGUGUGGGUAGCAAACAGG
rnacentral:rRNA from 1 species